GAUGAACGCUGGCGGCGUGCCUAAUACAUGCAAGUCGAGCGAACGGACGAGAAGCUUGCUUCUCUGAUGUUAGCGGCGGACGGGUGAGUAACACGUGGAUAACCUACCUAUAAGACUGGGAUAACUUCGGGAAACCGGAGCUAAUACCGGAUAAUAUUUUGAACCGCAUGGUUCAAAGGUGAAAGACGGUCUUGCUGUCACUUAUAGAUGGAUCCGCGCUGCAUUAGCUAGUUGGUAAGGUAACGGCUUACCAAGGCAACGAUGCAUAGCCGACCUGAGAGGGGGAUCGGCCACACUGGAACUGAGACACGGUCCAGACACCUACGGGAGGCAGCAGUAGGGAAUCUUCCGCAAUGGGCGAAAGCCUGACGGAGCAACGCCGCGUGAGUGAGGAAGGUCUUCGGAUCGUAAAACUCUGUUAUUAGGGAAGAACAUAUGUGUAAGUAACUGUGCACAUCUUGACGGUACCUAAUCAGAAAGCCACGGCUAACUACGUG
rnacentral:rRNA from 1 species